UAGGCCAGUGAUGACCGCUACCAGUGUGAUGAGUGUUAGAUCAUGAAUACCAUGUGCUUAGAACUCAGGGGUAUGA
rnacentral:snoRNA from 1 species